rnacentral:rRNA from 1 species
CACGUAGGGGGCAAGCGUUGCUCGGAUUGACUGGGCGUAAAGGGCGCGUAGGCGGUUCGUACAGUCAGACGUGAAAUUCCUGGGCUCAACCUGGGGGCUGCGUUUGAUACGUGCGGACUUGAGUGCGGAAGAGGGUCGUGGAAUUCCCAGUGUAGAGGUGAAAUUCGUAGAUAUUGGGAAGAACACCGGUGGCGAAGGCGGCGACCUGGUCCGAUACUGACGCUGAGGCGCGAAAGCGUGGGGAGCAAACAGG